rnacentral:lncRNA from 1 species
AGGGCGAGCACAAGGGUAAAAUAAUAGAUUUUUUUGGUGUUCUGCAUGAGGUUAUAGAGUUGAGAUAUAGUGAUCUUCAACGGAUUGUGUUAUUCAAGUAUUGAUGGUAUGACUUAGGACGACACAGGCCAAUUGUUAUAGAUCCUCAACUCGUCAGUGUCCACAUUGGUCAUGUAUGGUAUGAAAGUGAUCCUUAUAUUUUUGCAAAGCAAGC